rnacentral:rRNA from 1 species
GAUGAACGCUAGCGGCAGGCCUAACACAUGCAAGUCGAGGGAGGAGCUUUCGGGCUUCGACCGGCGUACGGGUGCGUAACGCGUAUACAAUCUGCCUUUCACAUAGGGAUAGCCCGAAGAAAUUUGGAUUAAUACCUAAUGGUAUAUAGAGGUGGCAUCACCUUUAUAUUAAAGCUGAGGCGGUGAAAGAUGAGUAUGCGUUCUAUUAGCUAGUUGGAGAGGUAACGGCUCCCCAAGGCGACGAUAGAUAGGGGUUCUGAGAGGGAUAUCCCCCACACUGGUACUGAGAUACGGACCAGACUCCUACAGGAGGCAGCAGUGAGGAAUAUUGGACAAUGGUCGGAAGACUGAUCCAGCCAUGCCGCGUGCAGGAAGACGGCCUUAUGGGUUGUAAACUGCUUUUGCAGGGGAAGAAUAAGGACUACGCGUAGUUUGAUGACGGUACUCUGCGAAUAAGCAUCGGCUAACUCCGUG